rnacentral:lncRNA from 1 species
GUUUGAGAACCAUGAUGUUGGAUGACCAGUAACUUCCCAUUGAUUUUAAACUAAUUGAUUUACUUAAUUUCACACACACACACACACACACACACACACACACAGACACAUGAUUAAAAAUGUCUGCUGAGUCUGGUCCAGGGGUUAAGGAAGGAAAGAUCUUAAAAGGGCCACUGUCUUUCCAGCCAGCAAACUAUGACACAACCAAUGUUUGGAAUUAUCAUGGGAAGAGAUUUAUACAAAGGGGGAAAAAUGGCAUUUCUACCAGCAGAGAGGAUCCCAGGAACCAAUCAAGCUCCUGUGAGAGUCUCCAGAGUAAAAAAAAUUCCUAAUAAAAAAUGGAAUCCAUUUGCCAUAUGGAUUAUUUCCAUCUUAGGCAUGAUAUUUAGGUAAUGUCUACUCUUUUUCACUUGGUUCUGAUGAGAUCAACAUAACUACUAGUUCUGCAAAUUGUAAACCUCACUAGGGGAUAAAAUUAUCCACAUCACUUGUCAAGCAACAUGGCAAAGAAACAGUUUUCAGAUGUAAAUGUUAACUUUCCUUUUCAUCUGAGACAUUUUCUCUCUAUAUCCUCUACCACAUUGCAUGGCAAUCUCUUAAAAAUACAGAAGAUGUGCCUAUUUGUAAAGUGUUCCUGGCUACCAUUUUGUUUAUAAAAAUUAACUGAAUCACUAAAUAUACUAAAGGUAUUUUAUUGCUCAAAUUCAGUAGC